rnacentral:rRNA from 1 species
CCUACGGGUGGCAGCAGUGGGGAAUAUUGCACAAUGGGGGAAACCCUGAUGCAGCGACGCCGCGUGAGCGAUGAAGUAUUUCGGAAUGUAAAGCUCUAUCAGCAGGGAAGAAAAUGACGGUACCUGACUAAGAGGCCCCGGCUAACUCCGUCCCAGCAGCCGCGGUAAUACGUAGGGGGAAAGCGUUAGCCGGAUUUACUGGGUGUAAAGGGAGCGUAGACGGCGGGGCAAGCCAGAGGUGAAAGCCUGGGGCUCAACCCCGGGACUGCAUUUGGAACUGUGCUGCUGGAGUGUCGGAGAGGCAGGCGGAAUUCCUGGUGUAGCGGUGAAAUGCGUAGAUAUUAGGAGGAACACCAGUGGCGAAGGCGGCCUGCUGGACGAUGACUGACGUUGAGGCUCGAAAGCGUGGGGAGCAAACAGGAUUAGAUACCCCAGUAGUC